GACGAACGCUGGCGGCGUGCUUAACAUAUGCAAGUCGAACGGAAAGGCCCUGCUUUUGUGGGGUGCUCGAGUGGCGAACGGGUGAGUAACACGUGAGUAACCUGCCCUUGACUUUGGGAUAACUUCAGGAAACUGGGGCUAAUACCGGAUAGGAGCUCCUGCUGCAUGGUGGGGGUUGGAAAGUUUCGGCGGUUGGGGAUGGACUCGCGGCUUAUCAGCUUGUUGGUGGGGUAGUGGCUUACCAAGGCUUUGACGGGUAGCCGGCCUGAGAGGGUGACCGGCCACAUUGGGACUGAGAUACGGCCCAGACUCCUACGGGAGGCAGCAGUGGGGAAUAUUGCACAAUGGGCGGAAGCCUGAUGCAGCAACGCCGCGUGCGGGAUGACGGCCUUCGGGUUGUAAACCGCUUUCGCCUGUGACGAAGCGUGAGUGACGGUAAUGGGUAAAGAAGCACCGGCUAACUACGUGCCAGCAGCCGCGGUGAUACGUAGGGUGCGAGCGUUGUCCGGAUUUAUUGGGCGUAAAGGGCUCGUAGGUGGUUGAUCGCGUCGGAAGUGUAAUCUUGGGGCUUAACCCUGAGCGUGCUUUCGAUACGGGUUGACUUGAGGAAGGUAGGGGAGAAUGGAAUUCCUGGUGGAGCGGUGGAAUGCGCAGAUAUCAGGAGGAACACCAGUGGCGAAGGCGGUUCUCUGGGCCUUUCCUGACGCUGAGGAGCGAAAGCGUGGGGAGCGAACAGGCUUAGAUACCCUGGUAGUCCACGCUGUAAACGGUGGGUACUAGGUGUGGGGUCCAUUCCACGGGUUCCGUGCCGUAGCUAACGCUUUAAGUACCCCGCCUGGGGAGUACGGCCGCAAGGCUAAAACUCAAAGGAAUUGACGGGGCCCCGCACAAGCGGCGGAGCAUGCGGAUUAAUUCGAUGCAACGCGUAGAACCUUACCUGGGUUUGACAUGGAUCGGGAGUGCUCAGAGAUGGGUGUGCCUCUUUUGGGGUCGGUUCACAGGUGGUGCAUGGCUGUCGUCAGCUCGUGUCGUGAGAUGUUGGGUUAAGUCCCGCAACGAGCGCAACCCUUGUUCACUGUUGCCAGCACGUUAUGGUGGGGACUCAGUGGAGACCGCCGGGGUCAACUCGGAGGAAGGUGGGGAUGACGUCAAGUCAUCAUGCCCCUUAUGUCCAGGGCUUCACGCAUGCUACAAUGGCUGGUACAGAGAGUGGCGAGCCUGUGAGGGUGAGCGAAUCUCGGAAAGCCGGUCUCAGUUCGGAUUGGGGUCUGCAACUCGACCUCAUGAAGUCGGAGUCGCUAGUAAUCGCAGAUCAGCAACGCUGCGGUGAAUACGUUCCCGGG
rnacentral:rRNA from 1 species